CCCGCUCCUCCUCCCUCCCUCCUCGAAAGUCCUAAGCGCUGCCAAACAGCUGUUUGGUGGCAGGAAGCACUGGGAGGUAGGCGGAGGAGCGAGGCUGUGGCACGCUGGCUGCCGGUGGAGUCAGUGCCUAUGGCGGGCUGCAGGAAAUAACUCUGCAGGCUGCAUGCGGCCUGCAGACCACAUGUUUGAGACCCCUGAUAUAUCCCCUUUCUGAUAGAAUGAAUUUAGUACCAAUGUAUGUGGUGGAUGCCACCUGUAUGGAUGACUGGGUGAGUCCUCAUCUGCUAGUAAUCUAAGUGACAGCCAAUCCAGAAGGAGAGAUUUUAUGCCCAGUACCACCACGUCCUCUCCUGACUUGCAGGCUUCUCCAGUUCUCACUGAAAGAAACUGGUUCAUCUCUGCUGAGGCACCAUCUUGCUUCCAGGUCUCAGUAGAGCUUCAGAACAUGGACAGAGGAGAACAAAAAAAAUAUUCUUUCCCAGAAAAAUGAUAGCUGAAACAGCCCCUUCUAUGUGCUUCUCCUCUGCAGUCUUCAGCAGUGAGUCCAUUCUACCCUAGACAUAAAACAAAAAAUACUGUAUUCUCAAAUCUUUUAGCUGGGGUAGUAUGUGAAGAGAGAGCUGGUCUUUAGCUUAUGCAGAACUCAAAUCACUAAGGCUUUUUAGAUCAGAACCAAUACCUUGAAUUGCACCAUGGAAGCCUCUUGGGUCAGGUGUAAUAUGUUCCCUGUGGGCUGCCACUUCUGCACCAGCUGAAGUUUACAAGUGGUUUUCAGGUGUAGCCCCCAAUGAAGUGCUUUGCUGAAGUCCAGUAUCCAGGCGAGAAAGGCAAAAAAUAACUGUGCCAAGUUCCACAUCUAAACAGAAUGAUCACAACCUUCCAGUUAAGUACAGAUAGAAAGUAUACUUUUAACCAGUGAUAUCUGGACAUGCAGCAAGAAAACCUAGCUGCAAAAUUGUGUAACAAAAGCUGCAGCCCAGGGAGUAGAAAUUCUCUGCCAUUUCCAGCUAUUAUUUCCCCAUGCCUAACCAGCUUUCCCUUAUUCCAGCUGUCCACUGGUUCUCAUCCAGACCAUUUCAGUUAUAUGCUGGGCAUAUCAGUCAACUGCACUUCCUUCAUCGAGUGAAAUAGUCAUAGAGCUGUGUAUUAUCCACACACACUUGGAAUUAUAGUUCAAACAGUACACUAUUCGAAACCACAAGUGCUGUUCAUCGCAGGCCAGCUGCACAACAGUAACACUGUGCUAUGCUUCGAGAUGUCAUGGGAAAAACCUUUCGACUUCUGGGGUAUACCAUUCAAUAUGGCUGCAUAGCACACUGUGCCUUUGAGUACCUUGGAGGAAUUGUUGUGUGUUCUGGACCUUCAAUGGAACCAACAAUUCAAAAUUCUGACAUUGUCUUUUCGGAGAAUCUUAGCCGCCAUUUUUAUUGCAUUCAGAAAGGUGAUAUUGUAAUUGCAAAAAGCCCAAAUGACCCAAAAUCAAAUAUCUGUAAAAGAGUAAUUGGCUUGGAAGGAGACAAAGUCUGUAUAAGCAGUCCUUCAGAUUUCCGUAAGAGUCACAGUUAUGUGCCUAAAGGGCAUGUUUGGUUAGAAGGAGAUAAUCUCAGGAAUUCUACAGAUUCCAGGUGUUAUGGACCUGUUCCUUAUGGACUGAUAAGAGGACGCAUUUGCUUCAAGUUUUGGAAGCAAUCACUCUCGGUUCCCCACAGAAGGGUGGUCCUGGUCCCAGGCUGGCUGUCAAUCUUUGUUCUGCCUCCAGCCAGCAGGAAGAAUUACUACGAUAUUACCCUAUAAUACAGACUGUCAGAUAUGGAGGGUAUUAAAAAGAAGAUUGAGAAGUAAGAAGGAAAUGUUCCUAUUGCGGUAUCCUCAUCUCAACUAAAGAAUUAAAAGAUAUGGCCUCUGAAUGAUUUUGGAUUUCUGCGUGCUAGCCCCAAUGGUCACAGAUUUUUGGAUGAUUAAGAGAACUAAUAAGUGAAUUCUGCCAGUUUACUUAACUGUCUUACAAUGCUUUAAUAGCUUUUUUUACUGAUUGAAUGAAACGAUGUAUUUACAAUAAAUUAAACAUUAUGUGA